rnacentral:rRNA from 1 species
AAAUAGAACUUUGCAGAGAGAGUUAACAGGGCGUGAAACCGUUAAUUGAGAAACGAAUCGGAGCCACGAAGUCGUUUCGCAGAUGAGUCGGAAUCAAGUUCAACUUGGCCAAGAAACGGUCAGGUGUAUUCUUGGUUUGGCUAUCUUUGUAAGCGUACACUGCAACCAGUUAGACGAUUGGUUAUGGGCCCAGUUGCUGUUGUUAGUAGUAGUAGUACUGUCGUUUUCGGACGAUUUGUGUUGCUGGCUAGCAAUGAGUGAACUAUGACCAAAUACUGACUGGCAAAAUGAAAAUCGUUCCUUGUGGGCGUUAGUAGAGAUAGCAACUGUUUGCAUUUGGGCCUACGUGUGCGGCCAUUGGGUUUUUAAGUUCGGCAUCUUCGAAUUUGGACUGGCUAGCUACCAAUGGGGCAACUCUUGGUGCUAGUUUAGCUUCCAUCUAAUCAGGUGUUGACUUGAUCUAAUGUUGUUCGUAUACGCUACGAUAGGGUCUAAAUGUAAGAUAGUUUGCAAUUUUAUUGGCAGUGAGUAGGUCGGCUUUCCGAACGACCCGUCUUGAAACACGGACCAAGGAGUCUAAUUAGACAUCGAGUCGAUCGGUCUUGAAUAGGCCAGACUUGUUAGACUUAGCUAACAGAAGGCGUAGAGACAUGUGAUCCUUGUGGCAACAACAGUCGCUUGGCGCAACAUGUGCCUGUUCGUAUAGCAAUGUAGCUAAAAUUGCUGAGCGGAGUAUAGAGAUGUCUGAUUGGUACCCGAAAGAUGGUGAUGCUUGGGCAAGUUGAAGCCAGAGGAAACUCUGGUGGAGGACUGUAGCGAUUCUGACGUGCAAAUCGAUCGUCAGACCUGAGUAUAGGGGCGAAAGACUAAUCGAACCAUC